CAGUCGCCACGGGAAUACGUAGGUGGCAAGCGUUGUCCGGAAUUAUUGGGCGUAAAGGGCUCGCAGGCGGUUUCUUAAGUCUGAUGUGAAAGCCCCCGGCUCAACCGGGGAGGGUCAUUGGAAACUGGGAAACUUGAGUGCAGAAGAGGAGAGUGGGAUUCCACGUGUAGCGGUGAAAUGCGUAGAGAUGUGGAGGAACACCAGUGGCGAAGGCGACUCUCUGGUCUGUAACUGACGCUGAGGAGCGAAAGCGUGGGGAGCGAACAGGAUUAGAUACCCCAGUAGUCCCUGUCUCUUAUAU
rnacentral:rRNA from 1 species